rnacentral:rRNA from 2 species
AUGCUAAUACCGCAUAACAACUUGGACCGCAUGGUCCGAGUUUGAAAGAUGGCUUCGGCUAUCACUUUUGGAUGGUCCCGCGGCGUAUUAGCUAGAUGGUGAGGUAACGGCUCACCAUGGCAAUGAUACGUAGCCGACCUGAGAGGGUAAUCGGCCACAUUGGGACUGAGACACGGCCCAAACUCCUACGGGAGGCAGCAGUAGGGAAUCUUCCACAAUGGACGAAAGUCUGAUGGAGCAACGCCGCGUGAGUGAAGAAGGGUUUCGGCUCGUAAAACUCUGUUGUUAAAGAAGAACAUAUCUGAGAGUAACUGUUCAGGUAUUGACGGUAUUUAACCAGAAAGCCACGGCUAACUACGUGCCAGCAGCCGCGGUAAUACGUAGGUGGCAAGCGUUGUCCGGAUUUAUUGGGCGUAAAGCGAGCGCAGGCGGUUUUUUAAGUCUGAUGUGAAAGCCUUCGGCUCAACCGAAGAAGUGCAUCGGAAACUGGGAAACUUGAGUGCAGAAGAGGACAGUGGAACUCCAUGUGUAGCGGUGAAAUGCGUAGAUAUAUGGAAGAACACCAGUGGCGAAGGCGGCUGUCUGGUCUGUAACUGACGCUGAGGCUCGAAAGUAUGGGUAGCAAACAGGAUUAGAUACCCUGGUAGUCCAUACCGUAAACGAUGAAUGCUAAGUGUUGGAGGGUUUCCGCCCUUCAGUGCUGCAGCUAACGCAUUAAGCAUUCCGCCUGGGGAGUACGGCCGCAAGGCUGAAACUCAAAGGAAUUUGACGGGGCCCCGCACAAGC